rnacentral:rRNA from 1 species
UUAAGCAUAUCAAUAAGCGGAGGAAAAGAAACCAACAGGGAUUGCCCUAGUAACGGCGAGUGAAGCGGCAACAGCUCAAAUUUGAAAUCUGGCUCUUUUAGAGUCCGAGUUGUAAUUUGCAGAGGGCGCUUUGGCAUUGGCAGCGGUCCAAGUUCUUUGGAACAGGACGUCACAGAGGGUGAGAAUCCCGUACGUGGUCGCUAUCCUUCGCCGUGUAAAGCCCCUUCGACGAGUCGAGUUGUUUGGGAAUGCAGCUCUAAAUGGGAGGUAAAUUUCUUCUAAAGCUAAAUACUGGCCAGAGACCGAUAGCGCACAAGUAGAGUGAUCGAAAGAUGAAAAGCACUUUGGAAAGAGAGUCAAAUAGCACGUGAAAUUGUUGAAAGGGAAGCGCUUGCAGCCAGACUUGCCUGUAGUUGCUUAUCCGGACUUUUGUCCGGUGCACUCUUCUAUAGGCAGGCCAGCAUCAGUUUAGGCGGUUAGAUAAAGGUCUCUGUCACGUACCUCUCUUCGGGGAGGCCUUAUAGGGGAGACGACAUGUAACCAGCUUAGACUGAGGUCCGCGCAUUUUGCUAGGAUGCUGGCGUAAUGGCUGUAAGCGGCCCGUCUUGAAACACGGACCAAGGAGUCUAACAUCUAUGCGAGUGUUUGGGUGUCAAGCCCAGACGCGUAAUGAAAGUGAACGGAGGUAGGAACCCUUUGGGUGCACUAUCGACCGAUCCUGAUGUCUUCGGAAGGAUUUGAGUAAGAGCAUGGCUGUUGGGACCCGAAAGAUGGUGAACUAUGCUUGAAUAGGGUGAAGCCAGAGGAAACUCUGGUGGAGGCUCGCAGCGGUUCUGACGUGCAAAUCGAUCGUCAAAUUUGGGCAUAGGGGCGAAAGA